GAUGAACGCUGGCGGCGUGCUUAACACAUGCAAGUCGAACGGUGAAGCAGGAGCUUGCUCUUGUGGAUCAGUGGCGAACGGGUGAGUAACACGUGAGCAACCUGCCCCUGACUCUGGGAUAAGCGCUGGAAACGGCGUCUAAUACUGGAUAUGUGAUGUGACCGCAUGGUCUGCAUCUGGAAAGAAUUUCGGUUGGGGAUGGGCUCGCGGCCUAUCAGCUUGUUGGUGAGGUAAUGGCUCACCAAGGCGCCGACGGGUAGCCGGCCUGAGAGGGUGACCGGCCACACUGGGACUGAGCCACGGCCCAGACUCCUACGGGAGGCAGCAGUGGGGAAUCUUGCACAAUGGGCGGAAGCCUGAUGCAGCAACGCCGCGUGAGGGAUGACGGCCUUCGGGUUGUAAACCUCUUUUAGCAGGGAAGAAGCGAAAGUGACGGUACCUGCAGAAAAAGCACCGGCUAACUACGUGCCAGCCGCCGCCGUAA
rnacentral:rRNA from 1 species